rnacentral:rRNA from 1 species
GUUAAUGAGGCGAACCGGGGGAACUGAAACAUCUAAGUACCCCGAGGAAAAGAAAUCAACCGAGAUUCCCCCAGUAGCGGCGAGCGAACGGGGAGCAGCCCAGAGCCUGAAUCAGUGUGUGUGUUAGUGGAAGAGUCUGGAAAGGCGCGCGAUACAGGGUGACAGCCCCGUACACAAAAAUGCACAUGCUGUGAGCUCGAUGAGUAGGGCGGGACACGUGGUAUCCUGUCUGAAUAUGGGGGGACCAUCCUCCAAGGCUAAAUACUCCUGACUGACCGAUAGUGAACCAGUACCGUGAGGGAAAGGCGAAAAGAACCCCGGCGAG